rnacentral:rRNA from 1 species
CAGCCGCCGCGGUAAUACGGAGGGUGCAAGCGUUAUCCGGAUUUAUUGGGUUUAAAGGGUCCGUAGUCGGAUCUGUAAGUCAGUGGUGAAAUCUCACAGCUUAACUGUGAAACUGCCAUUGAUACUGCAGGUCUUGAGUAAAUUUGAAGUGGCUGGAAUAAGUAGUGUAGCGGUGAAAUGCAUAGAUAUUACUUAGAACACCAAUUGCGAAGGCAGGUCACUAAGAUUUAACUGACGCUGAUGGACGAAAGCGUGGGGAGCGAACAGGAUUAGAUACCCGAGUAGUCCCUGUCUCUUAUAC